UACAGAGGUCUCAAGCGUUGUUCGGAUUCAUUGGGCGUAAAGGGUGCGUAGGCGGCGCGGUAAGUCGGGUGUGAAAUCUCGGGGCUUAACUCCGAAACUGCAUUCGAUACUGCCGUGCUUGAGGACUGGAGAGGAGACUGGAAUUUACGGUGUAGCGGUGAAAUGCGUAGAUAUCGAUAAGGAAGACCAGUGGCGAAGGCGGGUCUCUGGGCCGAAACUGACGCUGAGGAGCGAAAGCGUGGGGAGCAAACAGG
rnacentral:rRNA from 1 species